UACAGAGGUCCCAAGCGUUGUUCGGAUUCACUGGGCGUAAAGGGUGCGUAGGUGGUUGUGCAAGUCUGAUGUGAAAUCUCCGGGCUUAACCCGGAAAUGGCAUUGGAAACUGCACAGCUAGAGGUUUGGAGGGGGGAUGGAAUUCCGCGUGUAGCAGUGAAAUGCGUAGAUAUGCGGAGGAACACCGAUGGCGAAGGCAAUCCCCUGGGCCUGCACUGACGCUCAUGCACGAAAGCGUGGGGAGCAAACAGG
rnacentral:rRNA from 1 species